rnacentral:snRNA from 1 species
AUACCUUUCUCGGCCUUUUGGCUAAGAUCAAGUGUAGUAUCUGUUCUUAUCAGUUUAAUAUCUGGUAAACUGGAAAUUCCAGUUACGAUAUUAAAUGUAUUUUUCAGGGAAGCCACCCAAGUAGUCAUGCUUGCAUGGUGGGUGGCGUGGAUGGCCGUGGCGUUGCACAUGUGCUCCGGACGUCCGCCCCUU